UCAGGCUUAUUUGACCAUUGCCGAAGCUGUCGGGAAGAGCCAAGGGAAAUAUUAUGGCUGAUUUUUUUCAAACGGAGGCAGGUCCAGAGGAACAGGAAUUCCCUGCCCCCAGCCCGAUCAGAGGGCAAAGCACAAAGGGACCCAGAGAGGCUGGGAGAUCUUCAGAAAGGCUUCUCAGCAGGGUGUCCAAGGCAGACGAG